rnacentral:rRNA from 1 species
UACGUAGGGACCAAGCGUUGUUCGGAUUUACUGGGCGUAAAGGGCGCGUAGGCGGCGCUGUAAGUCACUUGUGAAAUCUCUGAGCUUAACUCAGAACGGCCAAGUGAUACUGCAGUGCUAGAGUGUGGAAGGGGCAAUCGGAAUUCUUGGUGUAGCGGUGAAAUGCGUAGAUAUCAAGAGGAACACCUGAGGUGAAGACGGGUUGCUGGGCCAACACUGACGCUGAUGCGCGAAAGCCAGGGGAGCAAACGGG